CCAGUCGGCCGGGCGGCCGCUCCGGGUGUCUCACCCGGGGAGGAAAGUCCGGGCUCCACGGAAAGACGGUGCCGGUCAACGACCGGCGAGGGCGACCUCAGGGAAAGUGCCACAGAAAACGAACCGCCCCGAUGCGGCCGUCGGUCCACCGACGGCCGGUCGCAAGACGGACCUUCCUCGGGAGGCGAUCGGGGUAAGGGUGAAAAGGUGGGGUAAGAGCCCACCGCGGACCCGGCAACGGGGACGGCAGGGCAAACCCCACCGGGAGCAAGACCGAAUAGGGGCGGCGCGGGCUCGCAAGAGUUCCGGUCUUUUCCGGACCAGUCGCCCGGGUUGGUUGCGCGAGGCGUCCGGCGACGGGCGUCCCAGACGAAUGGCCGCCACGUGGGGGAAACCCCGCCAUACAGAACCCGGCUUACAGGCCGACUGGCACU
rnacentral:RNase_P_RNA from 1 species